GCCUCCCUCCGCGCCACUCAGACUCCUACCGACGAGGCAGCAGUGGGAAUCUUGGCACAAUGGGGGGCGAACCCUUGAUGCAGGCGACGCCGCGUGAGCGAUGAAGCCCUUCGGGGUGUAAAAGCCUCGUUUCGGCAAGGGAACGAUUAUGGACGGUACCUGCAGAAGCAGCUGCGGCUAACUACGUGCCAGCCGCCGCGGUAAUUC
rnacentral:rRNA from 1 species